UCUGGUGCAUCAUCUUCUUUCUAGUGUCAGCUGUUAGUGAAACAAUGCCGGUAUUCCGAGGUAACGGUGAACCUUUGAAAAAAAAAAAAUAAAUACUGUUUGAACCAGAAUUCCGGUAACAAGAGAAAGAUCAAUCCAGUAUCAAUUAGAGCGUACAGAAAAUCUUUUGCAUUGAUUGCACGUGUGAAGUAUGCUGUUAUAAGUGUGACAGACAAAUAAGAAUGAUAAGGGAUUAAAAUUAAUAGUGAAAAGUCAUAGUUGUUGUUGGAAUCAACUUAAUGAACGACUUAGGUUACAAACUACUAUACCUGUGCUGCCUCCCCAGGACAUCAUUUGAACCAUUGUUCUAAAAAGUAAAAGUUGUUCAAAAUUUCUACAACCAUGACUUCUUCCUAAAACCUAUGCAGUAUGAUGUGCUGGACAGG